ACAACUUUUGGACCGUCGCGGCGUCGGUCUACCGAGCAAUUUCACCCGUUCGGUGGAAGAUAUUUCCUUAGUCGU
rnacentral:pre_miRNA from 1 species